GUGGUCGGUGCAUUUUCAUUCGAAGUGCAUUUUUGUUCUGAUGACUCUUCUGAUUGUUCGUCGUUCAAAGUUUCAAUCGCAGGAGGCAGAUAAGAUCGGUUUUCGUGUGGUUUGAAAGUGAAUCGGCGUCAUUUAGCCCGUUCGAUUGUUAUCAGUGUUUCGUCGCAGUGAAUGGUUAGAUUCUGGUUGGUUUUGGAAUCUGUGUUAGGCUUUGAAACUUGGGCACGUUUACGUGUUUACGGGUCUUCCCGAAAAGAAAACAUUUUCUCGUUUCCAUCUGUUAGCUAGGAAAGAAAUAGUUUUGAUUUUACUGGUGAAAAUCCUAGUGUAAACACAUCGGAGGUGUGUGCUGAAUGUUUCUAAAAAGAUAUUUUGAACAGACGCUUUCGGUGAUAUAACGUCAUCAAUACGGCUCGCAAAUUACAUUUCUGUAUCGCAGUAGCGAACGGGGGCCAUUUCUUUUUGAUCGAGUUGUGUUGUACCCUAGUUUGUUUUCUUCAGCGACUUUGAGUGGAUAAACAGAGCGUCAAGGUUACGACAAGUUCGGAAGUGCAGACUGGACCGGGAAGUCCUCUAAAAAUAGCAUCGCAAACCUGUUCAAUAGAAAAGUGGAAAUUUUAUAGAUGUGCUUUGCGUACUGACAGAACUGUGCUGUGCAAGAAAAGCAAUACAAACAAAUAUACUCACUAAAGGCAAAAAGAAAGCACAUUGUUUUGGAAGUGUUCAUCUCGACGGUAGGGAAUCCGCUGUCAGUCGCAGAUCAGCUGUGCUCACGGGUGGAAGUAUCUGGAAGGCAUCAAAUCACGGACCGUCGGGUGGUAGCUAUGGCAAGAAGAUCUUCGUUCAGAUAUAUCACCUUUAUUUUGACCUGUAUGUGUAGUCGUUAAUGUCCAGAAGGAGGAUUGUGAUUUUUGUCUGCAAUCAUUUUAAUCACAUUCAAAACACCAAAGUCAUCCUCAUACACCUAGUGCCUAUCGGUGCCAACUCAACCGAAGGCGUAGAAAGUGCACCGGACAGGAAUCCUGGCAGACAAAGUUUAAUCGCAACUGAUCAUCAUACUUGAACAAAACUAAUGCCUCUCCGUGAUAUGAAUAAGUGUGAUAUCUAGCGUAAAGUUAGCGGCAAGCAGACAACCGAACAACAGGCUUCAAAAAGUAUUUGCUUCUUAUUCGUGGAUCUUGCUCGUUCGCUCAGUCUGAGCAUAGUGUAAAAUCGUGAGCGGAUCAAGUGUGAAUGUGUGCAUUUGGUAGUUUUCAAAGAUAGUGAUUUACUCCUGUGAUUAGUGUAGAUGUCUUUAACGGAUCGUAACCCGUUCUUGAAUAUGACCCCGGGACGUACAAGUAGGAUGGCGCGUGGUAAACUUAGUUCCGCGCUUGGCGUACCCGGUGUGGGUAGUGGAGGUGGCAUUUGUGGUGAGGAGCGUAAGAGAACCGGUGAAACAAUUCACUCCGGUCAGUUUAUGGUGUCGCACUUCGAAAACGAAGGCCAAGAGGAUGAAGACGAUGAGGACCUGGGAAUGCAGGUCGUCGUCGAAGAUGUGAAACCGGCUAUAGUCGAUACCGUCAUUUCUAACAUUAUAUCCAAGCGAAAUCCAUAUCUGGCGAUGGAGACAUCGGCGAGCAGUUCGACGGCGCUGGCACCGAUGAGAGGUGGUUUCGGCGGUACGGAGUUGAUCCGUUACGCGCAGAAACGGCAGCCACUGCAGUUGACUGGUCGCUACACCUGUUCCCAAGUGGAGAUCGACACGGACCUGUCGACGGUGUUCAACACUCUCAACGUUACCUACACACAAAAAUUAACAUCGCCCAAAUGGAAUCCGUUCAAGGGCAUUCGUCUGCGAUGGAAGGAGAAAAUCCGUCUGAACAACGUUAUCUGGCGAUGCUGGCACAUGCAAUUUAUCAUGAAACGAAAAACUCUAGUCUGUCAAUUUGCAUCUCCUCUAGACGUAGACGUACACAACACACCUCAGGCAAUUUUACUCGAAGGAAAAUAUUGGAAACGGAAGUGCAAUGUUAUUAAGGCAGAGUACAAAAAAUGGCGUAGAUUUUAUGUAAACAAAGUGCUAGGUGCAACUAACAUUGCAGAUACGGCUAGUGAGUUAGAUUUUUUAGAAUGGUCCCCAAGCAGUGAACCACUGUUUAUGAUAACCGAUAAUAUGCCCACGGAUACAUUAUUCUCAACACUAUCACAGUACCCAUUUCCAGACUCAAGGGAAAUAGCACGCGGAGCGGGUAGAGCCGACUUCAUCCAGCCAAGCCUUGGGCCGUUGCAGCCUAAUUUUGACGAUUUAAUGGACCUAGAUUUAGAUUUUCUCAACUUUUCACGGUUAGCCCCAGUACCGGAGGAAGGAUCGGAAGAUAUCCUAAAGGCAAUUGAUUAUAACUAUCCCUUAGCUACCAGUCAAGCCACCAGCGGUAGCAGCAUUCAAGAGAUUACAGACGCACCUACAGCUACGGCUCAUCAGGCCUCUGCACAACAAGCAUCCUGCCGAACCGGUGGUAACACUAGUUCUGUGAUUACGGGUCCUAGCACUCUAGUGAACCUAGGACAACCGCAGCAGCAGCAAACAAUCUCAAAUUCUUCUGCUACACCAACCACAAUCCACUAUUCGGCAAAAAUUUUUACUCAAAACCUUAACAUAAGUGGUGAUUCUACAUCGGCCUCAGCGUCAACCGUAUCGCCGCAACAGCGUCAACAGUUGGGUAAUGCAAUAGGAUCAUACAUUUCUUCUCAGCUCCAACAACCAAUCGUAACAGCCAACGUGCCUUCAGCAUCCAGUACCAGUGAACACACAGCAUCCGCCAUUCCAGGGGUAACUUCCAGUGAGGAGUCAAGCAAAGACCCAAAGGGGAAAUAUUCCCGUAAUUUUUUGAAGCAUCUGGGUCGUGAGCCCCACAAUUACGACAAGUGUCCACCGACAACGCAUCAAACUAUGGCUUACAAUCUUGUACAGCAACCACAUUUGAGCCAAAACAUUCUCAACAGCACGUACCCUUCCUCUUCCUAUCAAAUUCAACCAGGCGGAAUCAUUCAAAUGUCUGGUACACCAUCCAAUCAGAACGUGCUUAACUACAACAAUCUGCCAAUGCACCCUACAGCAUCUCCAUCGAACCCGAUGAAUCUGUCCAAUAACUCCGUUUCUGGGAGCAACUAUUUACUGCAGAGUAUGAACUCUAAAUUACUAACGCAUAGUCAAUCGCUGCCGGUGCAAAACAACCAACAGAAGUCACAACCACGCUCAAAUUCGAUGCCAACAGCCCAAAACUACCCGCACGCCCUAGCAUCACAGAGCUCCCCACCCGGAAACCUCCACCAACAACACCAGCAGGAUGCAUUCAAAGGGUCCUUGCAUCCUACGCAAAGCUCCAGCUAUAAAUUCUACCACACUCACCAACAGCAGCCGUACAAAAUUCCCUCUCAAAACGUUGGCAGUUAUGGCAGUGGCGGUCGUAGCAUGAGGCAUUCCUCGCCUCCCCAUGGACAUCAGUCCCAGGUAGCCACAUUGGCUCAACAGUCAACGAUAGAGCAAACACAGCAGCAAUUACAAGAUCUCCAGCAGCAGCAGCAGCAACAGCUAUCUCCACAGACGCAGUCUCAACAGUCGCAGCAGAAGCGACACCCGCCGCAUCCAACCAAAGAAAUGUUCCGCUCUAACAGUCUACCCAUCAAUGCUACCUUCCCGUUGCCACCUAAGGAGGAAAACUUUGCCGUGCCUCAGUAUCAAGCCAAAUCGACCCCAAAGCUCAAAACUCGAAGCAAUUCGAUGAUCAUGAAAGCACCUGGCAACAAAACAAUGGUGACUAUCAGUGGUGCGAAUCUGCUACCGGCGCUACAUGCGACCUCCAGCGAACCAAUGCUGAACGUUGGCAGCAGUGCAUUGCUGGCUCAGCUUUUGACCAACAACAAUACUAGUACCUUACUAAACGUUAAGCAGACGAAUUCGUCAGCAAGUGCCAUAGGAAGUCUUUCGCCACAGCAGCAACAAUCUCAUCAACACAUUGUCCAACACCAGCAGCAGCAACAACAGCAAUCCCAGUCACAUCAACCGAUAUAUCAGCAACUAUCACUGGGUAGUCCGAUAUCCCCGACAUCCUCACAGUUGCAGCUGAAUCAGUCCCAGCACAGUCCACAGCUGCACUCGCAGACACAUUUGACCCCGGUUUUAAACUCGUCUGGAGCUCAAUCCGUGCUCAGUUUUGCUUCCUCGUCUUCCACCACUGGCAUUUCUCUGUCAUCGCCGGAUUCCGUGCUCGAUCAUGAUGCACCGAUGUCGCCCGUUUGCAUUGGUGGCAUAACGUGCGAAGGCACCGGAAGCUGUAGUAGUGGCGGUAAUGGCGGAAGUGGGGGUGGCGUUGGUAACAAGUUUCAUCAGCAACAAUGUGCUCGCAAUGACAGUCAGCGCCGUACGGGGCAUAUUCACGCAGAACAAAAGCGUCGCUAUAACAUCAAGAGUGGUUUCGAUAUGCUGCACUCGCUCAUUCCCCAGCUGCAGCAGAAUCCGAAUGCCAAGUUGAGCAAAGCCGCUAUGCUGCAGAAGGGGGCGGACUAUAUCAAACAACUGCGCUCGGAGCGAUCUGCUACUAGCGAACAGAUGGAUGCACUGCGCAGGGAGAUCGAUGCACUCAACAAUUCUCUGAGUAACCUACAAACGGCACUACCAGCUAGUGGUGCCCCUGUGUCACGUCAGCGAACCGGUCGUGUCAAGGAACUAUACCACCAGUACGUCCGACAGCGUACCCUGGACAACUGGAAGUUUUGGAUCUUUGGUCUAAUCUUUGAGCCACUGAUGAAUACCUUCAACCAAACCGUGUCGGUUGCCAGCUUGGACGAAAUGUGCCGCACCUCGCAGCUAUGGGUCGAUCAACACUGCUCACUGGUCGAAUUGAGGCCAGCGGUUUCCAACAAACUACGACAGCUGUCGACCACGACAGACAUACUGUCAGACCCACCCACUUCCCUGCAGGAAGAAGUACUGAAAGCGAUUUCCACUUCACUGCCGUUGCCUGGUUCCAAUGGCGGAAGCAAUAGUAGCCGUUGUGGAAGUAAUGGCAGCAGCCCUAACCGAAGCUCUGGUGGAUUACAGUAAGUGCUGAUAUUUUCAUUUGAUGCAACAGAACAAGCGAGAAUGUCUAAUGUUCCAAUUGUGGAACUAAUAUUAGGUGAAUCCAUAUGAGAUGUAAUGGGUAGGCUAGAUACUGUAGUGCCUUAGUAAAAGCACGACACUCCGUCAGAGCAGUUUGUGCUUCACCUCAUUAGUGAAGAAUGCGAUAGCCACUACCUGAAAAAUAGAUACGACCGUAUAUGUCCACUGUAACGUCACUUUAUUACAAUUGCUAACUUUGACUUGAUGUAAUUAUGAGGACAGAUCCUGAUGCUGUAUUUCAAAAAUAUCUUCCUGUUUCAUAGAUCAGCACUGGGCUCAACAGCAUGCUUCCCGUUUUUUCGACCAUGCCUAAAGUAUAAUUAGGGGGUCACCGAUCGAAACAACUACCGUUCCGCACUAAGGAAUCGCUUGAUCAUGGGUCCCUGCGGCAUAGCAUUUUUACUUGAUUGAAUAAGCAUGUUCUCAAAGCGCCGAAGUUGUUGCCGGUAAACUUUCCUAAUAAUCCUUGUUGUUUCAUCACAAUGAUGGUUUUUAUAGAAAAAACCAUACAUAUAAGAUAUGACUAUUACAACUAUCCGUUUUAUCAUCACCUUUUAGUGUGUUUGUUGUACGUUUCGCUAGAGAUGCGCUGUGUAUGAGUGUGAGUUAAGGAAGCGAGAGCGAAUUUAGUACCCAUUAGAUAAAUUAGUACAACCACUACUAAGUGGACAUUAUGAGUUUAAUAGUUGUUACUUCUUUGCUUAGUUUUAAUGAAUGGUAUUACAGAAUGCCAUUUUAGGAAUAAGACAAACAAAAAAGGAAAAAAAUAUAUUUUUGAGAAAUUAAA